UCUUGUGUACAUGCCUAUAUCGGUAAUGCAUUGGAUCCCAUUAGAACUUUGCAAUUAAGAGCGCUCAUGCUAGAGUAGUACUAGGAUGGGUGACCACCUAGGAAGUCCUAGUAUUUUACAUGCC
rnacentral:rRNA from 1 species